GUUUCUAGAAGCUGAAAAAGGCAGAGGACAGAUGCUCCCUCCAGAACCUCCAGAAGGAACCAGCCUGGCCAAUACCUUGACUUUAUCCCGGUGAGACUGAUUUUGGAUUUCUGACAUCCAGAGCUGUAAGGUGACACAAGCUCGAUCCCUGAUGCUGGAAGAUCCCCCAUGCAGCGGAGCAACUAAGCCCAGGCACCACAGCUAUUGAGCCUGUGCCGCAACUACUGAAGCCUGCAGGCCUAGAGCCUGUGCUCCAAAACAAGAGAAGCCACUGCAAUGAGAAGCCUUCGCAGCACAACUAGAGAGGAGCCCCCACUCAUCACAGCUAGAGAAGAACCCUUGUAGCAACAAAAACCCAGCACAGCCAAAAAUAAAUACAUAAUUUUUUUUAAAGAAAGUUAUAUUCUCUACUGUACUAAAAACCUGCAAUCUAG
ensembl:lncRNA